rnacentral:rRNA from 1 species
CCCUAUGGGGUGCAAAACGGAGGUGGAAAACGGAGGUGGAAAACGAGGGUGAGAGGAGCAACUCUUCGGUCCGGGAGGACUAAACCAAACCCCCGUACCCCAUAGGAAUGUUGUUAUAGUAUUGUGAGUAAGGCACUUGUUGGUAUUUAGAAUGUUUCAUAAACGCCGCUAUUCCAAUGUUAUACCAAUAUUCCUAUGGGGUACUUGGGAUUAUGGUAUUUAUAUUCUAAAUUUGGUGAGUAAACCCUUAAACCUAAAAACUAUGGAGUGGUAUUUGAAAGUUUUAAGAAACUAUGCAGGCUUCGAAGGCCGCGCAAGAAGAACCGAAUUCUGGGUAUUUUUGCUUUUUAACUUAAUUUUUUCUGCCCUAAUCAUGUUACUGGACAGGAUUAUGUGGACAUAUAGCUUCAUUGGCGGGGGGGC